rnacentral:rRNA from 1 species
UGCAAGUCGAGCGGAUGAAGGGAGCUUGCUCCUGGAUUCAGCGGCGGACGGGUGAGUAAUGCCUAGGAAUCUGCCUGGUAGUGGGGGAUAACGUCCGGAAACGGGCGCUAAUACCGCAUACGUCCUGAGGGAGAAAGUGGGGGAUCUUCGGACCUCACGCUAUCAGAUGAGCCUAGGUCGGAUUAGCUAGUUGGUGGGGUAAAGGCCUACCAAGGCGACGAUCCGUAACUGGUCUGAGAGGAUGAUCAGUCACACUGGAACUGAGACACGGUCCAGACUCCUACGGGAGGCAGCAGUGGGGAAUAUUGGACAAUGGGCGAAAGCCUGAUCCAGCCAUGCCGCGUGUGUGAAGAAGGUCUUCGGAUUGUAAAGCACUUUAAGUUGGGAGGAAGGGCAGUAAGUUAAUACCUUGCUGUUUUGACGUUACCAACAGAAUAAGCACCGGCUAACUUCGUGCCAGCAGCCGCGGUAAUACGAAGGGUGCAAGCGUUAAUCGGAAUUACUGGGCGUAAAGCGCGCGUAGGUGGUUCAGCAAGUUGGAUGUGAAAUCCCCGGGCUCAACCUGGGAACUGCAUCCAAAACUACUGAGCUAGAGUACGGUAGAGGGUGGUGGAAUUUCCUGUGUAGCGGUGAAAUGCGUAGAUAUAGGAAGGAACACCAGUGGCGAAGGCGACCACCUGGACUGAUACUGACACUGAGGUGCGAAAGCGUGGGGAGCAAACAGGAUUAGAUACCCUGGUAGUCCACGCCGUAAACGAUGUCGACUAGCCGUUGGGAUCCUUGAGAUCUUAGUGGCGCAGCUAACGCGAUAAGUCGACCGCCUGGGGAGUACGGCCGCAAGGUUAAAACUCAAAUGAAUUGACGGGGGCCCGCACAAGCGGUGGAGCAUGUGGUUAAUUCGAAGCAACGCGAAAACCUUACCUGGCCUUGACUGCUGAGACUUUCCAGAGAUGGAUUGGUGCCUUCGGAACUCAAACCCGGUGCUGCUGGCUGUCGUCGCUC